ACUUAUAAUUAUGCCUUUGCUCAAACUUACUUGAAUUAUGACUCUGCUUCAGGCACUUACACCCAUUCUGUCUUAUUGGGGGAAGAGGAGACUCUCUUGCUAUAACUUUGCUUAAUAAAAACAUGAAAUAUGAAAGUUGGAAGGACCUAUAUUCAUACCGACUAAUUUUACACACAGGAGACUUCAAGAAGUUUAGAGGAGCCCAGUAAGUCACUAAGCUGGGUGUUGUGUGUUGCUCACAAGCAUUAGGCUCAGGUUGUAAUGUGGAAAGUACCAUGAAGGGCAGGAACCAAGAUGGGUUUUGUUCUGAUUCACGCCCCCCCACCAUCAGGGGUGUGACUUGGAAAAUCCAUUUCUUUCCAAACUAGGACUGCUGUAAUGAUCAAAUAAAUGAAUGUGAUAUUUGUCAGUAGAAUAGUAGUUACUUUGUCGACUUAAGGAUUACUAGCAUUGUUAGGAGAAGCCAUCCAGUUGGCAAUCAGAUGCUUUACAGGGAGAGCCUUUCGUACAGAAGGAACAGUGAUGGAGACUUGAAUUGAAGUAGCUGCAGUGGGAGUUAUGGCAGCAUGCAGCAAAAGGUACAUCAAAAUGAAUUCUGUGCAGCUGAAUAGAAGUCCUCGCCUUAGAGGAAAGGUCGCGGAGGUAUUGUGGGCUGACCUGAACUUGCUGAGGCCUGUUUUGUUAUACCUUUGCCUUUCACAUUGAAGUGCACAAUUGACCUUAUCUUUUGUGAAAAAAUACUUUGGCCUCUUUGAAGUCUUGUGCUGCUGGCAGAUUCACACGGAUGCCUACUUACAAGCUCUUUAUUGAUCAUACUUGUGGCACGGGUGGCAGGUAUGGCGUGCAUGAGUGGCUUCAGGAACCUUUGCUUUUGUCCCACCAGAGUUUGAGUUAACAGGAAGAAGUGUGGUAGAGGGCUCCUGCUCAUCCUGCUUUGCUCCUUAUCCUGCUGUCAGGUGAGCCCUGCAGGACCACCCCCUUCUCCUUGUGUUUCAGCCUGAUGUUCAAGGUUAAUUCCCUGGGUGGCCAUGUUUUCCCUCCCCUCCAUGCCUCCCAUGUUCUCAUUUCUUGAAAUGUGUUAAGCCUCGUAUACAAACCUGCUCUCCUACCAUCCUUUAGAACAUAGCCCAGGUGUCAUUUCCCCCUAGAAACUCUUUGACACCCCAGCCUUAGUCCUGCUGUCAACCCCCCUCAAGUUCAGAAAACAUGUGUAAAUCUCCAUAAGGGCUCUGCCGCUGUGUUAGAGCUGUUGGCUUGCGCUCUCGAACUGUGGGGGCAGCAAGCUCUUUGAAGGAAGGGCUAUCUUUCCUGUCUGUAUUACCGCUGCUCCACAUAGUUUGUGCUAUAAGUGACCAGAUGGUGUGACCUUGCUGGAGCAUGAGCUGGGACAGCUGGCCAUUCUGAUGGGUCAGUGACUAAUGUGUAGGGACCCUGCAAACCCAUAGACACAUGCACAGAUCAGUUGAAAGUUCAGGCACAUUUAGUAAAUUAAAACAACCCUUUUCCUAUCAGUUUCCAAGUUUUUUCUAUUGUAAAUAACAUAGAGAUAGCCAGUUUUGUACAAAAACUUAGGUACAUCUCUGGUGUUUUUUCCUUCUGAUUCUAGAAAUCACGUAUUUUUUAUUUCAAAAAGAAACAUUUAAGUUUGGCACAAGAUGAGAAUUGAAGGACACAUGUGGGCUUUGGAGUUUUGACUUCCUGAAUUCCUAGUUUCCCCCAUUUACUAGCUGUAGACUCUUGGGCAGAAUACUUUUCUGAGGCUCACUUUCCACUUUCCUAAAAUAGAGAUUUAUAUCAGUCAGCACAGGCCAGGUUGUCCCGCAGGACCAGACAUCUCCCAAACCUCAGUGGGUUUACAGUGUCACAGCAUCUUGAUUAUUCACACUUCAUGCCUCUCGUGGAUUAGCAUGGAGGCUGUGUUCACUGUGGAAGUUCAGGGACCCAGGUGGAAGGUACAUCCUGACUUGCAUUUCAGAAUUGUGGAUGGAGGUAAGAGACCUAAGAAAGCUCUUAGAACUUGUCAUACUUGCAUUUCACUGACCAAAGCAGUGUCCUAGCCGAGUUCAGAGGUCAGGGAUGCAUAAUCAUUUUGCAGGGAAAGGCAUCAAAUAUUUCCAAAUAAUAUUGCAGUCUGCCUCCAGGUUAGUGACGCAUGAAGGGAAACUCUUGGAACAUACCAAGUGCCCCCUACAAAGGUAGUGAUUGAUGAAUGGAAGCUAAUUUUAUUCGUGAUUGGUUUCUCUGGAAAGUAUUAAUGAUCUAUUGUAAGAAGUUAUAAAUGGGCUCAGGAUAUAAUGAAACCUAGUGUCCAUACUUAAUUAUGGGCAGUUUAAAAAAGAAAACUUUUAUUGAAAAUGCACCGACAGAUGAAAAAUUAAAACGGCAGCUUCAUGGUUCAAAGGUAAGUUUCUCUGUAAACGUUACAAUUUCAAUUUAUCAUUUUCUUGAGGUCCCAACAACGAAGGUUUAAUAACGAAUAGUUUCUGAAGUAUUGAAUCCACUAACUUAGAAAAUCAGUGUCUUUCCUCAGUGCAAAAUGUACUUACAAUUAGAACAUUUUGGUAAGGCAUUCUUAUGUGAAAAUGUUUCUGACCUAAGUUGUUUUAGCUCCUCCUGUGUUUAGCAGACUGCCAGCAGUAGUUUCACUCCUUGCUUUGUGAACAAAGGGGUAGUUCUGUGUUUUUUCAAAAAGGAGAGUUAAACUUUUCACAUGAAUAUUUAUAUUUAACAAAAAAGACUGCUUUCCAUGGUGUCUGGUUUAUGAAAACUUUAAUAUGAAUAUCAGUGAUUUCUGCCCCACCUCAGCAUUUUAAAAAGUCACUUUUAUAGUUUUACUCUGCAGCUUAUCAUCAUAAAUCCAAGAAUGUAAUUUUUUUAGACUUCAGAAUACCAUUGAUGCAUGUGCUUUAUGAGCUAGGUAGAACUAGUGUUGUAAAAUUUGUUUCCCUUAAAAUGUUCUUGGGAGUUCCCGUUGUGGCACAGCAGUAAGGAACCUGACUAGUAUCCAUGAGGAUGCAGGUUUGUUCCAUGGCCUUGCUCAGCAGGUCGGGGAUCUGGUGUUGCCAUGAGCUGUUGUGUAGGUCGCAGAUCUGUGGCUCAGAUCCUGUGUUGCUGUGUCUGUGCUAUAGGCUAGCAGCUGCAGCUCUGAUUUCACCCCUAGCCUGGGAACUUCCAUA
rnacentral:lncRNA from 1 species